UCUCUGGUCUUCCCGUUCGUCAGACAGCCGCUUCUUCUAGUGCAGCGCCAGCCGCAUCCCCGAGGCACCAUGGUGAAACCCAAGGUCGGAGUAAACGGCUUUGGUCGGAUUGGGCGCCUGGUCUGCAGGGCUGCUUUUAACUCUGGCAAAGUGGAUAUUGUCACCAUCAAUGACCCCUUCAUUGACCUCAACUACAUGGUCUACAUGUUCCAGUAUGAUUCCACCCAUGGCAAAUUCCAUGACACAGUCAAGGCUGAGAACGGGAAGCUUGUCAUCAAUGGAAAUCCCAUAACCAUCUUCCAGGAGCAAGAUCCCACCAAAAUCAAAUGGGGUGAGGCAGGUGCUGAGUAUGUUGUGGAGUCCACUGAUGUCUUCACCACUAUGGAGAAGGCUGGGGCUCACCUACAGGGGGGUGCCAAAAGGGUCAUCAUCUCUGCCCCUUCUGCUGAUGUCCCCAUGUUUGUGAUGGGUGUGAACCAUGAGAAGUACAAAAACAGCCUCAGCGUUGUCAGCAAUGCCUCCUGCACCACCAACUGCUUAGCCCCCUUGGCUAAGGACAUCCAUGACAACUUCGGCAUUGUGGAGGGACUCAUGACCACAAUCCAUGCCAUCACUGCCACCCAGAAGACUGUGGAUGGCCCCUCUGGGAAGUUGUGGCGUGAUGGUCGUGGGGCUCUCCAGAACAUCAUCCCUGCCUCAACUGGUGCAGCCAAGGCUGUGGGCAAGGUCAUCCCUGAGCUGAAUGGGAAGCUUACUGGCAUGGCUUUCCGUGUCCCCACUGCCAAUGUGUUGGUUGUGGAUCUCACCUGCCAUCUGGAGAUGGCUGCCAAAUACGAUGAUAUCAAGAAGGUGGUGAAGCAGGUAUCAGAGGGCCCCCUCAAGGGCAUCCUGGGUUACACCGAGCACCAGGUCAUCUCCUCUGACUUCAACAGUGACAGCCAUUCUUCCACCUUUGAAACUGGGGCUGGCAUUGCCCUCAAUGACCACUUUGUCAAACUCAUUGCCUGGUAUGAUAAUGAAUUUGGCUACAGCAACAGGGUGGUGGAUCUUAUGGCCCACAUGGCCUCCAAGGAGUAAGAACCCCCAGACCACCAGCCCUAGCCAGAGCACGAGAGGAAGAGAAAGGCCCUUAGCUGCUGGGGUGCCCCUGCCUACUCAGUCCCUCACCUCACUGUGAAUCUCCCCUCAACACAGUUUCCACCCAGACCCCCUAAAGAACAGGAGGGGCCUAGGGAGCCCCACCUUGUCAUGUAACAUCAAUAAAGUUCCCUGAAUUCAA